rnacentral:rRNA from 1 species
UACGUAGGGGGCAAGCGUUGUCCGGAUUUAUUGGGCGUAAAGCGCUCGCAGGUGGUUCGAUGCGUCGUGCGUGAAAGACCCCGGCUCAACUGGGGAGGGUCGUGCGAUACGGUCGAACUGGAGGCCAGUAGGGGGAUGCGGAAUUCCCGGUGUAGCGGUGAAAUGCGCAGAUAUCGGGAGGAACACCAGUAGCGAAGGCGGCUCGCUGGGCCAUUCCUGACGCUGAGACGCGAAAGCUAGGGGAGCGAACAGG